rnacentral:misc_RNA from 1 species
CUCACUCUUUCUUUACUCUUCUUCUUCUUCUUAAAAGAAACCCAGUUCUCUCUCCCUUUGUCGCCCUUUCCUUCUAUUUUCCCACUUUAUUUCUCAUUUUCCCCUUACGAUGCCAAUCAACAAGGACCCAUCUACUCCCCCUCCUAUGAUCGGGAAAAUCGGGCCCUACACUGUCUUCGUGACCCCUCCCUCCACCCCUAAACCGGCGGGGCCUGUUUUUGAUUCCCCUAAAAAGGUGGUUUCACCGCCUCCCGUCCUGCCGCCGCCCCAGCAAAUCGAUAAGUCUGUUUCUGCUCAGCCUUUGUCUGAUGUGUCCGUUUCUGGGUUCUUCAGAAGUGCUUUCGACAAAGUGCAAAAUGCACAUUCAAGUUUGGAUGAGUAUUUGGCACGUUGGUUUGGGUUAAAUCAGUCCAAGUAUCAGUGGGCGUUGGAUGAUUAUUAUGAGAGCAAGGAAUUGGGAAAAGAUAAUGCAAAACCAAAAGAAAUUUCAAACCAAGUACAGAGCGUGUAGGAUUGGGCUGUUUUUAAAUUGGGCAGAAAACGUUGAAUCACCUGGUAUACCAUAUCUACAUACCUAAUAUAUGCAAUAUCAAAAGUUGAUCUUCUUGAUUCUUAAAGGAAACUGUCGUCUGGGUUCCUAGAGAUCAGCCAGUUUGCAAUUUGCUGUAUAUUGCAGCGGUUAACCAAGUCUGGCUUCGUUUUAGGCUGUGAGUAAUGUAAUCUCUUUAAAAGUCAAUUUUCAGUGCAAGCUUUUUUGUUCAUGGACUCCAUGAGUUGCAAUCUAAUUAGAGUACCUCCAAGUUGUGGAGAUGUAUUAUUGUUGCAUCUGUACUUCUACCUGACUAAAGCAUUUACUAGCAACGAUUAUGUUGCGGCCGUGAUUUUUUUUUUUUUUGAAAGAAAAU